UACGGGGGGGGCAAGCGUUGUUCGGAAUUACUGGGCGUAAAGGGCGCGUAGGCGGUUUGCUAAGUUGAAUGUGAAAACUCUGGGCUUAACCCAGAGCCUGCAUUCAAUACUGGCAGGCUAGAGUUCUGGAGGGGAUAGCGGAAUUCCUGGUGUAGCGGUGAAAUGCGUAGAUAUCGGAAGGAACACCGGUGGCGAAAGCGGCGCGCUGGACCUCUUCUGACGCUGAGGCGCGAAAGCCAGGGGAGCAAACGGG
rnacentral:rRNA from 1 species